UGAGGAAUAUUGGUCAAUGGACGAGAGUCUGAACCAGCCAAGUAGCGUGCAGGAUGACGGCCCUAUGGGUUGUAAACUGCUUUUGUUUGGGAAUAAUCGACAUUACGUGUAAUGUUUUGCAUGUACCAUUCGAAUAAGGACCGGCUAAUUCCGUGCCAGCAGCCGCGGUAAUACGGAAGGUCCAGGCGUUAUCCGGAUUUAUUGGGUUUAAAGGGAGUGUAGGCGGUUGGUUAAGCGUGUUGUGAAAUGUAGAUGCUCAACAUCUGACUUGCAGCGCGAACUGGCUGACAUGAGUACACACAACGUAGGCGGAAUUCAUGGUGUAGCGGUGAAAUGCUUAGAUAUCAUGAAGAACUCCGAUUGCGAAGGCAGCUUACGGGAGUGUUACUGACGCUUAAGAUCGAAGGUGCGGGUAUCGAACAGG
rnacentral:rRNA from 1 species